rnacentral:piRNA from 1 species
UAGAGAAGACGAGUCAAGGGCUGAGG